CCUAAUGGGAAAUUUAAGGGCGUAUGGUGGAUGCCUUGGCUCCAAAAGGCGAUGAAGGACGCGGCUUGACUGCGAUAUGCUUCGGGGAGGUGUCUAGCAACCUUCGAUCCGAAGAUCUCCGAAUGGGGAAACCCUUCUGCCCAUGAGGCAGAAACUUUACCACUUUAGGUAAGGUGCGUACCCAGGGAAGCAAAACAUUCUAGUACCUGGAGGAAAAGAAACCAAUAUCCGCGCAAGCGGGUUGCAUUUCCUUAGUAGCGGCGAGCGAAAAGGGAAGAGCCUAAACCGAGCUUCACUCUCACUGCAUUUUUUGUGCAGUGUGAGUGACGCUCGGGGUUGUAAGAUGACGUAUCUACGUUUACCGUAGGAAGAGUCAAAAAAUAUUCUGUUAGCCGAAUCCGCUGGAAAGCGGAACCCUAGAGGGUAAUGGUCCCGUAGGCGAAAACAGUGUAUCUCUUUAAUGUCAUUCUUGAGUACCUCAAGACACGAGUAGCUUUGAGGGAAUCCGCCGGAACUAACCGGUAAGGCUAAAUACUUUUGGAGACCGAUAGUGAACUAGUACCGUGAGGGAAAGGUGAAAAUUAGCCCGGUAAGGGCAGUGAAAUAGAACUGAAACCAUAUGCUUACAAGGAGUUACGGCGGUCUUGUACCGUUGUAGCGUGCCUAUUGAAGAAUGAGCCAACGAGUUUGUGUAUGCUGCAUGGCUAAGGGGUAACCCCCGGAGCCGUAGGGAAACCGAGUGUGAAUAGCGCGAUUUAGUAGCAUAUACAAGACCCGAAGCCAGGUGAGCUUGUCAUGAGCAGGGUGAAUGUCUCCGAAAGGAGACAAGAGGCCCGAACCGGUAAGUCGUUCAACACUUUCGGAUGACUUGUGAUAAGCGGCGAAAAACCAAUCGAACCUGGUAAUAGCUGGUUCUCUCCGAAAUAGUUAUUGGACUAGCGUCGAGUGUACCUUUAAGGGGUAGAGCGCUGGAAGGUUUCGACAGGGAGCAAUCUCGCGAAACCUAUCAAACUUCGAAUACUUAAAGUAAAUUACUCGGCAGUAAGACGACGGGGGCUAAGCUUCGUUCGUCAAAAGGGAAACAGCCCAGAUCUUCAGUUAAGGUCCCAAAAUCUACGCUCAGUGCAUCUCAAGGCGGUGAAAUUUCUCUGACAAUGAGGAGGUUGGCUUAGAAGCAGCCACCCUUUAAAGAUAGCGUAACAGCUCACUCAUCAAGAGAUUUCGCACCGAAAAUAAUCGGGGCUUAAGCGUAGUACCGAAACUAAGGAUGUAUUUUACCUUCGGGUAAGAUACGUGGUAGGAGAGUUUUCGCAUCUGCUGUGAAGGCAAAGAGGUGACUCAUGCUGGAGCGUUGCGAAGUAAGAAUGUUGGCACAAGUAACCGCAAUGCAGGUUAGACCCCUGCACGCCGUAAGACUAAGGUUUCCUUGGCGAUGUCAAUCAGCCAAGGGUUAGUCGGUCCUAAGGCAAUGGCGAAAGCCGCAGCCGAUGGGAACAUGGUUAAUAUUCCAUGACUUUUUUGCGUUGCGAUGGAGGGACGAAGUUGAGUAUACGAGGCGCACAAUUGGAUGUGACGUCGUCAUCGUCAGGAAGCUCUUUUGGCAAAUCCGGAGAGCGGGGCGUAAGCCCGAUUCCAAGCGAUGGGGAAAUUCUUUAAGCAAUUAAGGGAGAUCUCGUAAAGCCAGUUUCCAAGAAAAGCUUCUAAGCAUAAACGCAAAGGAUCCGUACCGCACAACCGACACAGGUAGUCGGGUCGAGUAGACCAAGGCGAACGAGUGAAAAAUCCCCAAGGAACUAGGCAAAAAAGCAGUCGUAACCUCGGGAUAAGACUUGCCUUUCGCAAGAAAGGCCGCAGCUAAAGUAUCUCUGGGAACUGUUUACCAAAAACACAGCUCCCUGCGAACUCGCAAGAGGAUGUAUAGGGGGUGACACUUGACCAAUGCCAGAAGGUCAACCAUUGGCGUUCCAGUCCGCAAGGAUUGGGGUGACCGAUGUAAGCCCUGGUGAAUGUCGGCCGUAACUAUAACGGUCCUAAGGUAGCGAAGUUCCUUGUCAGGUAAGUUCUGACGCGCACGAAUAGUGCAAUCACUGGAGAACUGUCUCGGGGAUCCACUCGGUGAAAAUACAAUACCGGUGAAGAUGCCGGUUACCUGCAGUUAGACGAAAAGACCCCAUGGAGCUUUACUGCAUCUUGAUAUUGAGAAUACGUCUUGCCUGCGUAGCAUAGGUGGGAGAGAUUGAAGCAAUGCUUUCGGGUGUUGCAGACUCGUCAGUGAAAUACCACUCUGAUGAGAUGUAUUUUCUAACCUCCGCGGCAAAAACGCGAAGGAACAGUAUCUAGUGGGCAGUUUUGGUGGGGCGCUAUCCUCCCAAAGAGUAACGGAGGAGCCUACAAAGGUUCUCUAGGCGCGAAUGGAAACCGUGCCGAUAGUGUAAUGGCAUAAGAGAGCUUAACUGCGAGGCGUACAUGCCGAGCAGACGCGAAAGCGGAGCAUAGUGAACCGAUGGAUCGCGUUAGACGCGGCCAGAGAUUAACGGAUAAAAGCUACCCUGGGGAUAACAGGCUAGUUCCGCCUAAGAGUCCACAUCGACGGCGGAGUUCGGCACCUUAACACAUUGGGGUGCUAUGUCAGUAAUGACAUAUAGCCAAUCUUAUUAUUCGAGUGUAGGAGCUUGGUGAAUAAGAUACAAUCGUGGCUUAUAACGGUGAACUCCUUUUAAAUAUAAAAAUAUUUUUAAGGACAACACCGUGGGAAGUCUUCUUUGACUUGGCUUGGAUUUUUUCAAGAUAUGUUUAAAGAAUGACCCCGUAGAGACUUGUCCCGAGUUAAACGAAGGACAGAGUUUUCGCUUUGGAAGCGAAAGCUAACACGCCACCGCCUUUUACACAGUUUAGGACUUGUCCUGAGCUUGUCGAAGGAUGAAGAUAUAGUCCAUACCGCCAGUAAUGGCGGAGAAGUAUACGAUGUCGGCUCACCUUAUCCUGGGGCUGGAGAAGGUCCCAAGGGUUUGGCUGUUCGCCAAUUAAAAAGGUACGUGAGCUGGGUUCAAACCGUCGCGAGACAGGUUGGUCUCCUAUCUACUGCAGGCGUUGAUUCUUGAGAAGAUUUGUUCCUAGUACGAGAGGACCGGAAUGAACUGACCUCUGGUGUAUCUGCUGUUCUGCCAAGGGCAACGCAGAGUAGCUAAGUCGGGUAUGGAUAACCUCUGAAAGCAUCUAAGAGGGAAGCCAACUUCAAGAUAAGGAAUCGUUAUAGACCCGUGAGAGAUGAUCACGUUGAUAGGCUCUAGGUGUACGUCCCGUAAGGGGCUUAGCCAAGGAGUACUAAUGAGUCAAUCCUAUUAGGGA
rnacentral:rRNA from 1 species